UCUCUGCUCGACCGACGGUAGGAGCAUAACUUUUCUGCAACUCUUGCUAUCAUUGUAUUCCAUGAUCUAAGACUACAUCUCUUUGAGGUUCUCAGUCCAUAAUCAUCAUUUGGUAAUUCCUUGUUUCACGGCGUACGUUAUCAAUGGCGCGAUCGCGGGAAGGAAUGGAGGGGUUCUAUUUAACCUGCAAAACCUGCCCAUAUUUUCCCAUCCGGCUAGCGGAGGCAGGAGCUAUGGGGGAAGCAGGAACCGGGAGCAGAGGUGGGGAUGCAAUAGAACAAGUAGCAAUUGGUCCUGAAGCCAUAGCCCAAUCUGGGUCGAACCCAUUUUUUCAAGGGGUUUAGAGAUCAAUGCCAUAGCCCAAGGGCCCUCCUUCCAGAUUCAUCUGCACCUGGAAAUCCUCACCUCACAAUGUAGUAGUUCAGCUUCACAUGGCCAGGACAAUGCAACUGUGAAUGUAGAAAUCUCUAGGUCUUCUGAAACCCUAGCCACAUAGUACACUGCAGAAUGUGGUCAUGGAUGCUACCAAUUCUUGUAUGGGGGAUCCUCCGAUCUUAAAUGGUUUGAUUGAUAUGUAAAAAAAUGGACAAGGGCAACAAAUUACUAUGAUGGUGCAUGAGGUAAGCUUGAAAUUUGUCCUUUGUAUGCUAAAUUAUCUUAUGUUCCCUAUUAUACUAUGCUAAUUUGUGUUUGUGGAAUGUAGGCCAUCUUGAAAGUAACUCCAUCGAGCAUGAAUCUUAUUGGCAUAAAGGAUCUAGUUGUGCCCUCUACUACAUCUAUAGUUUUACCAGACGAUAUUUCAAGGAUUACUCCAACAAACACUAGUGUUCUUGAUGUGGGUUCAGUCAAAAUUCUCCCGCCAAUGACCGAACAAGUUUCCUUGAGGAGUCUCAUAGAUUCACAAUCAAGAAUACUAAGGCUCCUAUCAGAUACUCCUGAAAAUUUUCCAAUCAGACAAGAAAUACUUGUACAAAUUUAGUUAUGGGAAAGGGCAUUGUUGGAGAGUGCAGAGCCUAGCUCAGUUGAACAAGUUCACCAAUUUCAAAAGGAAGCUUCAGAGGAGGACCUAAAAUAUUCUUUAUUACAUGGUUCCAAGGCCUACGACAACAUUUGGUAGAUCGAGGGGAGAUUCUAGUGAGUGGUCAUGAUUCUGAGAGGAAGCCCAACAAUCAAACUUAUCAGGUAGUGAGCAUGAAGAGGAGCUAGAGGAUCAUGAUGAAUUGUUUGUUUCACAUAAUGAUUUGAUUGUCAUUCCUGAAACUCGAUAGGAAACCAUCCUUGAAUUUCAACAAGUGGGAGACAACAAUAUUGAGGAGGGUGUUCAAUUUGAUGAACUAUCCAUACCCACAAUUAGAAAAGUGCCUCGUAAAAAGAGGACACAAAGCAAGAGGAUGUUAUUGUUCAAUUUCCAUUGCUACUAUAAACCUAAUUUAUAUAUCAUCAUAUUUUUUUAAUUAAUACUUGUGAAUUUAUUUA